rnacentral:SRP_RNA from 10 species
ACCAGACAUGGUGGUGUGUGCCUAUAGUCCCAGCUGCUCUGGAUGCUGAGGCAGGAGGAUCACUUGAGUUCAAGAGUUCUGGACUGUAAUGUGCUAUGUCAAUUUUGUGUCUGCACUAACUUCAGCAUCAAUAUGGUAACCUCCAAGGAGCAGAGGACCACCAGGUUGCCUAAGGAGGGGUAAACCAAUCCAGGUCAGAAACAGCAGGUCACAACUCCAGUGCUGAUCAGUAACGGGAUUGCACCUGUGAAUAGCCGCUGCAUUCCAGCUUGGGCAACAUAGUGAGAUCCCAUCU